GGUUCGAUCCUGGCUCAGAUUGAACGCUGGCGGGAUGCUUUACACAUGCAAGUCGAACGGCAGCAUGGACUUCGGUCUGGUGGCGAGUGGCGAACGGGUGAGUAAUGUAUCGGAACGCCUAGUAGCGGGGAUAAAUCGCCGCGAAAGCGCAGCUAAUACCGCAUACGCCCUCUUUCGGGAAAGCGGGGACCUUCGGGCCUCGCACUAUUAGGGGCGGCCGAUAUCGGAUUAGCUAGUUGUGCAACGGCUCACCAAGGCGACGAUCCGUAGCUGGCUCUUUGAGGACGACUGCCAGCCACACUGGGACUGAGACACGGCCCAGGACUCUACGGGAGGCAGUGGGGAAUUUUGGACAAUGGGGAAACCCUGAUCCAGCCAUCCUGCGUGUGCGAUGAAGGCCUCGGGUUGUAAAAGCACCUUUGGCAGGAAGAAACGGCACGAUAACACCCCGUGCAACUGACGGUACCUGCAGAAUAAGCACCGGCUAACUACGUGCCAGCAGCCGCGGUAAUACGUAGGGUGCAGGCGUUAAUCGGAAUUACCGGGCGUAAAGCGUGCGCAGGCGGUUCGGAAAGAAAGAUGUAAAUCCUAUGAGCCGGACUUUGAACUGCAUUUUUAACUACCGAGCUAGAGUGUGUCAGAGGGAGGUGGAAUUCCGCGUGUAGCAGGAAUGCGUAGAUAUGCGGAGUAAACACCGAUGGCGAAGGCAGCCUCCCUUCGGGAUGUCAUACUGACGCUCAUGCACGAAAGCGUGGGGAGCAAACAGAUUAGGAUACCCUGGUAGUCCACGCCCUAAACGAUGUCAAUCAUUGUUGGGCCUUCGGGCCUUGUAGCAGCUAACGCGUGAAGUUGACCGCCUGGGGAGUACGGUCGCAAGAUUAAAACUCAAAGGAAUUGACGGGACCCGCACAAGCGGUGGAUGAUGUGGAUUAAUUCGAUGCAACGCGAAAACCUUACCUACCCUUGACAUGUCUGGAAUCCCGAAGAGAUUUGGGAGUGCUCGCAAGAGAACCGGAACACAGGUGCUGCAUGGCUGUGUCGUCAGCUCGUGUCGUGAGAUGUUGGGUUAAGUCCCGCAACGAGCGCAACCCUUGUCAUUAGUUGCUAACAAAGCGCACUCUAAUGAGACUGUUGCGACAAACCGAGGAAGGUGGGGAUGACGUCAAGUCCUCAUGGCCCUGGCGGUGGGCUUCACACGUCAUACAAUGGUCGGGACAGAGGGUCGCCAACCCGCGAGGGGGAGCCAAUCCCAGAAACCCGAUCGUAGUCCGGAUCGCAGUCUGCAACUCGACCGCGUGGUCGGAAUCGCCGGGGUAAUCGCGGAUCAGCAUGUCGCGGUGAAUACGUUCCCGGGUCUUGUACACACCGCCCGUCACACCAUGGGAGUGGGUUUUACCAGAAGUAGUUAGCCUUAACCGUGCGAGGGCGAUUACCACGGUAGGAUUCAUGACUGGGGUGAAGUCGUAACAAGGUAG
rnacentral:rRNA from 1 species